GAUUGUGUCCCUGAUGGCAAUGCAGCCCGGGGUUCGUUCUCUGCUGCUGCUGCUGCUGCUGCUGCUGCUGCUGCCUGCUAGGUUAACGUUGUUCCAAGUCGAGCGAGUCAGAAAGCUGGAGGUGGUGUUGCCCAUGUUUGUCUACUGUCUUGUCUAUCGCGGCGAAGAUGCUGUUUACACACACAGGCUGCUCCUUUUCUCUCGCAGCAGUUUAGACUUUUGCCGCCACUUGCGACCAAUCGCUGUCCAUGACAAGGGCGCGGAUUACCGCGAGAGAAGCCACCUCUUGGCACGGAUCCUCUCUGCCCACUUGUCUGUCAGGCACUGCUCAAAGUCGGAGCUCCGGCACCGCACGCGCAUCAACCGAAACUGCAGCAAUUGUGUCCAGCUUUCCCCAGCUAUGAAGGGAAGCAGGGAAUUUGGAAAUGUUGAGAAAAAUGGUACUGAGCUAACACAUCAGCAGUUGUGAGAGAAUAGCUUUGCAGAAGCCAUACUUGCAGCGCCAAUGGGCCGUUUUCAAUUGCAAGCAGGUGAUUUGUGGGUCGACAAACGCGGGCUUGGAAAUGAAUGCAAAACAUCACAAAAGCUUAAAAGCGAAAGUUACAGACGUUACAAAAGCAUGUAAACAAAUGACGAAAUGCCUUGACGUGGCUGAUACUUCCUUUGGCUGGCAUUUCCAAAACCUGAGAUCACCAAUUCACACAAAGAAGGUCAGGCAUUCAAGACUGAGAUGAGAAGACAUUUCUUCACCCAAAAGAAUCUGCAGAAUUCCCUAAUCAAGCGGCCUGUGAAGGGUUGGUUAUUUUGUAUAUUUAAAACAGUGGGGCAGUUUUUUUUUCCAAAUAUGAAGGGAAGCAGGGCAUUUAGUGAUUAUGAGGAAAAAAUGGCCCUGAGGUAAUAAAUAAACUCUGGUGACAGGGGCUUAUGGUCCACAUCUGUUUUUAUUUGUUAUGUUCUUUUAUAUCUAUCUAUCUAUCUAUCUAUCUUAUCCUAUCUAUAUUACUAAAAGUCUGAUCUUGACCACUUCCUGUUUUUCUGUUUCAUGAUUUUAGAAAAAGACGCUGCCACUUAAUGCAGUGAUUUUUGGCCAUCUUACUCAGAGUCCCCCUCUGCUGCGCAGGAGGAUUUUUCCCAUCGAUUAAAAAUAAAAGAGUUAUUAGUGUUUUAAAAAUGUUGAGGUUCUCUCUGCUGUCCCCUGCUGGUGGGAGGGACUAAAACCCAGAAGUGUUGUGCCUCAGUCAGUCACUGUAAGAUAGAGGAAGCGAGAGAGUCACGUCUCUCUGAGCUGUGAAUAACAUUGAACACAUGUCAACUCAACUGUGAGUGCCCUUAAUGUGGUUUGCAAAUGAAAAUGUGGUUGCUUUGAAAUGCUGCACUGCAAAUGGUUGUUGGUGGUGGUUGCUUCGAAAUGCUGCACUGCAAAUGGUUGUUGGUGGUGGUUGCUUUGGAACGCUGCACUGCAAAUGGUUGUUGGUGGUGGUUGCUUUGAAAUACUGCAUUGCAAAUGGUUGUUGGUGGUGGUUGCUUUGAAAUACUACACUGCAAAUGGUUGUUGGUGGUGGUUGCUUUGAAACGCUGCACUGCAAAUGGAUGUUGGUGGCGGUUGCUUUGAAACACUGCACUGUAAAUGGUUGUUGGUGGUGGUUGCUUUGAAAUGCUGCACUGCAAAUGGUUGUUGGUGGUGGUUGCUUUGAAACAGCAAAUUAUUAAAAGUCUAAACUUGAUAACUUCCUGUUUGCACUGUAUAUUGAUUUUAGAUAAAAUGAUACCACUUACGGCUGUGAUUUUUGGCCAUCUUACUCGGUGCCCCUCUGCUCAUCAGGUGCAGAAGAUUCUUCCCAUCAAUGAAAAAUAAAAGUGCUAUUAGUGUUUAAUUUUUUUUAAAGUUGAGAAUCUCUCUCCUGUCAAUCACGCCAUGAAGCCCAUGCCCCUUCCAGUGGGAGGGAGGAGGGAUUAUAAAACAUGGAAGUGUGGGUGUGGCUCAGCCUCUGCAAAAUGGGGAGGGAGAGGUCACGACUGUCUGAGCUGUGAAUCAACUGAACACAUUGAAUGUCUAGUGAAAUGUGAGUAUAGCAUUUGGUGGCCUUGCACCCUGCUUGAAGUGCCAUGAAACUGCACUUGAAUUUGGUGGCUUUGCACCCUGCUUGAAGUGGCAUGAAACUGCACUUGAAUUUGGUGACCUUGUACCCUGCUUGAAGUGGCACGAAAUUGCACCUGAAUUUGGUGACCUUGCACCCUGCUUGACGUGGUAAGAAACUGCACUUGAAUUUGGUGUCCUUGCACCCUGCUUGAAAUGGUAGGAAACUGCAUUUGAAUUUCGUGAAC